UGUGUCACACAGGGCAGGGCAGGGCAGGGCAGGGUGCCUGCAGUCAUGGCAACCAGGCCACAGGGCAGCAGGCCGUGCUAUCCUCUCCCCUCGCUCUGCUAAUGCUCCCUUUGUGGGUCCCCACCCUUCCCCCACUGUUCCCUCACAGUCACCCAUAUAGCCCUCAGGGGCAGGCCACCAUCUUGGUCUACAUGCUUCUCCCCAGGUUAGGUCGCUCUCUGCUGCAGCUCUGGGGACCGUGAUGUGCUGGUGAUUCUUCAAUCUGUUCCUUGUCCAGAUCCAACAGUUACCCAGCCCUGCAGCCAGCCAGAGGGCCCGGGCAAUCUCCCGGUCCAAGCUAGCCGCCUCAGCAUCCUCAACAUGGCACCUCUCCUUCCCACUCAGCCACCCGAGCCAGUGCCUGGCAGUAGCCCAGAAUCCAUGUUUAGCUUCCUUCCCUCAUCUCAUUGGUCACCAAAUUCAGCUGAGCUCUCCAAGCUCUGCCCAGCACUAGCACACCAGCACGCCCCUCUGAAGCCCUCUUCAAAGUCUCCCCAGCGACCUGAGUAAAUGUAAACAAGCACACUGCAUUUCA